rnacentral:rRNA from 1 species
AGUGAACGCUGGCGGUAGGCCUAACACAUGCAAGUCGAACGGCAGCACAGUAAGAGCUUGCUCUUACGGGUGGCGAGUGGCGGACGGGUGAGGAAUAUAUCGGAAUCUACUUUUUCGUGGGGGAUAACGUAGGGAAACUUACGCUAAUACCGCAUACGCCCUACGGGUGAAAGCAGGGGAACUUCGGACCUGGCGCGAUUGGAUGAGCCGAUGUCGUAUUAGCUGGUGGGGGGGGUUAAGGCCAACCAAGGCGACGAUCCGUAGCUGGUCUGAGUGGAUGGUCAGCCACACUGGAACUGAGACACGGUCCAUACUCCUACGGGACGCAGCAGUGGGGAAUAUUGGACAAUGGGCGCAAGCCUGAUCCAGCCAUCCCGCGUGUGUGAAGAAGGCCUUCGGGUUGUAAAGCCCUUUUGUUGGGAAAGAAAAGCAGCAGGUUAAUACCCCGCUGUUCUGACGGUACCCAAAGAAUAAGCACCGGCUAACUUCGUG